rnacentral:rRNA from 1 species
AGAGUUUGAUCAUGGCUCAGAUUGAACGCUGGCGGCAGGCCUAACACAUGCAAGUCGAGCGGUAGCACAGAGAGCUUGCUCUCGGGUGACGAGCGGCGGACGGGUGAGUAAUGUCUGGGAAACUGCCUGAUGGAGGGGGAUAACUACUGGAAACGGUAGCUAAUACCGCAUAAUGUCGCAAGACCAAAGUGGGGGACCUUCGGGCCUCAUGCCAUCAGAUGUGCCCAGAUGGGAUUAGCUAGUAGGUGGGGUAACGGCUCACCUAGGCGACGAUCCCUAGCUGGUCUGAGAGGAUGACCAGCCACACUGGAACUGAGACACGGUCCAGACUCCUACGGGAGGCAGCAGUGGGGAAUAUUGCACAAUGGGCGCAAGCCUGAUGCAGCCAUGCCGCGUGUGUGAAGAAGGCCUUCGGGUUGUAAAGCACUUUCAGCGGGGAGGAAGGCGUUAAGGUUAAUAACCUUGGCGAUUGACGUUACCCGCAGAAGAAGCACCGGCUAACUCCGUGCCAGCAGCCGCGGUAAUACGGAGGGUGCAAGCGUUAAUCGGAAUUACUGGGCGUAAAGCGCACGCAGGCGGUCUGUCAAGUCGGAUGUGAAAUCCCCGGGCUCAACCUGGGAACUGCAUUCGAAACUGGCAGGCUAGAGUCUUGUAGAGGGGGGUAGAAUUCCAGGUGUAGCGGUGAAAUGCGUAGAGAUCUGGAGGAAUACCGGUGGCGAAGGCGGCCCCCUGGACAAAGACUGACGCUCAGGUGCGAAAGCGUGGGGAGCAAACAGGAUUAGAUACCCUGGUAGUCCACGCCGUAAACGAUGUCGAUUUGGAGGUUGUGCCCUUGAGGCGUGGCUUCCGGAGCUAACGCGUUAAAUCGACCGCCUGGGGAGUACGGCCGCAAGGUUAAAACUCAAAUGAAUUGACGGGGGCCCGCACAAGCGGUGGAGCAUGUGGUUUAAUUCGAUGCAACGCGAAGAACCUUACCUGGUCUUGACAUCCACAGAACUUAGCAGAGAUGCUUUGGUGCCUUCGGGAACUGUGAGACAGGUGCUGCAUGGCUGUCGUCAGCUCGUGUUGUGAAAUGUUGGGUUAAGUCCCGCAACGAGCGCAACCCUUAUCCUUUGUUGCCAGCGGUUAGGCCGGGAACUCAAAGGAGACUGCCAGUGAUAAACUGGAGGAAGGUGGGGAUGACGUCAAGUCAUCAUGGCCCUUACGACCAGGGCUACACACGUGCUACAAUGGCAUAUACAAAGAGAAGCGACCUCGCGAGAGCAAGCGGACCUCAUAAAGUAUGUCGUAGUCCGGAUUGGAGUCUGCAACUCGACUCCAUGAAGUCGGAAUCGCUAGUAAUCGUAGAUCAGAAUGCUACGGUGAAUACGUUCCCGGGCCUUGUACACACCGCCCGUCACACCAUGGGAGUGGGUUGCAAAAGAAGUAGGUAGCUUAACCUUCGGGAGGGCGCUUACCACUUUGUGAUUCAUGACUGGGGUGAAGUCGUAACAAGGUAACCGUA